rnacentral:lncRNA from 1 species
UCUCUGGUGGCCGGUGUCAGUUGUGCACAGAGAUUGUGGUCCUUGGCCCCGACCCAAGGAUUAGGUGUUCCAGGGAAGAGAGAUUUCUUGGCCCUUGCCAAUCCCCAAGAGUGCUUUGGGAAUUGUGUGUUUGUGUAUGUGCUUUUCCCUCCUCCCUUCCCACCUCCUCUGCACUUGAGUUUUACGCCAUCUUCCUCCUCCUCAAAAUGCCCACGAUAGCACGCGGAUGGUAUAAUCAGGGCCUGCCCUGGCUGGGUGGGUUUAAAAAGACUGACAUGAACGGUGGGGGAUCUUGGGCAAAGGAGGUAAGACAGGAUAUGAAAACAAUGGACUCAUUGUAGAGAAAUGAUAGAGGGAUGAGAAGGAGAUCGGUGGAACACAGCACCAUCUACAGGCUGAUAUAGAGUUCACCAUCAGAUGAUCGCAGGAGGACGGCCAGAAGUGGGUGGGAUGGCGUUUCCUUUUAUGAGUGGAUAUCAAAUGUGAUUGGGAAGAAUAAAUGAAUUCAUUGUAGUGAUACGGGUGAAAUCGCUUUGAUAAGAGAUGGAUUACGUUGGUUUUAUAGUUGCAACACGAGAAAGAGUGUCACUUUGAAACCCUCUUUGACGUGUUUCCACAUGAAAGGCUUCGACAAACAAGAGAGAGGUGACCGUUUUGUAGCCCCACCACCUUUCCUGUGCCAAAAAUGCCAACUGUAACAACAAAGAGUGGCAGAUGCCAAGGGAAUCCCAGAUGAAUGACCUCAGUGAAGCCGGCCUACCAAAGAGAAGCAAAUAUUUACCCUGCGUGUUUGAACCCAUGGCGCGGUGCCACGGCUGCCCCUCAGAGCGCAUACCAGCCCGAUAGUCUUACUCGUCCUCCAACUUUACUCCCUAGGUACACCCUAUAUGAAGCCAGAAAAAUCUUCUUGAUUUUCAACCAUCGCAUCAUAGAGCGGAACAUGACGGAAAGGGGUCCAGCACAUCCCAGAGCUCAGCCGCCCUGAGACCGAAGUCUCCUUAUGGGACACUGACUUCAAAGUCCAUUUUGGAAGGACUGAUCUGAAGAACGCGAACCGGUCUCUGAUAACCAACAGAGCAGUCGGGAUCAGUGGAGAAGCCACCAAAUGAGAUCUCUUGGGCAUCAAACACACACAAUACAUAAAAUAUGUGCAUAUCAUAUUAAU